AUUGAACGCUGGCGGUAUGCUUAACACAUGCAAGUCGAACGAUGAGAAAGAGCUUGCUCUUUCGAUUAGUGGCGGACGGGUGCGUAACGCGUAGGAAUCUACCUAUUAGUGGGGGACAACUUAGGGAAACUUAAGCUAAUACCGCAUACGCCCUACGGGGGAAAGAAGGGGAUCGCAAGACCUUUUGCUAAUAGAUGAGCCUGCGUAGGAUUAGCUAGUUGGUGGGGUAAAAGCUCACCAAGGCGACGAUCCUUAACUGGUUUGAGAGAAUGAUCCGUCACACUGGAACUGAGACACGGUCCAGACUCCUACGGGAGGCAGCAGUGGGGAAUAUUGGACAAUGGACGCAAGUCUGAUCCAGCCAUUCCGCGUGCAGGAUGAAGGCCCUCGGGUUGUAAACUGCUUUUGUACGGAACGAAAAGGUCUCUCUUAAUACGGGGGACUCAUGACGGUACCGUAAGAAUAAGCACCGGCUAACUACGUGCCAGCCGCCGCCGUAA
rnacentral:rRNA from 1 species